CUAGUAUUAGAGGCACUGCCUGCCCAGUGACCAAAGUUCAACGGCCGCGGUAUCCUGACCGUGCAAAGGUAGCAUAAUCACUUGUUCCUUAAUUGAGGACUAGAAUGAAUGGCCACACGAGGGUUUAACUGUCUCUUACUUAUAAUCAGUGAAAUUGACCUCUUCGUGAAGAGGCGAAGAUGUACGAAUAAGACGAGAAGACCCUAUGGAGCUUAAAUUUAACACCCAUGUUUCACACUACAACUCCCCAGAGCUCAACACUCCUACACCUGGGUAUACAAUUUUGGUUGGGGUGACCUCGGAGCACAAAUCAACCCCCGAGUAUUAUCUACCUAGACUUAACCAGUCAAAGUAUACAAGCACCGUAUACAUUGACCCAAAUUAAUUGAUCAACGGAACAAGUUACCCUAGGGAUAACAGCGCAAUCCUAUUCUAGAGUCCAUAUCGACAAUAGGGUUUACGACCUCGAUGUUGGAUCAGGACAUCCCAAUGGUGUAACCGCUAUUAAUGGUUCGUUUGUUC
rnacentral:rRNA from 1 species